CCUUCAGGACGGGUUCCUCCUGCACUUGGGGGCGGCGACCUUAAAGCCUGGACAUCGCGCGAGGACGGUACGGCGACCCGGAAGGGAAGCGCGGUGGCGGUACACGACGCGUGCACGACGGCUCCGACUUGUGACGACGACGACAUAAAAAACCGGUGACGGUGGUACGGUUUUUCCCUCGGGGGCGGAGAUUCAAAAACUGGUGCUUAAACAGGCAGACGACCCAAAAAGUUACUUACGAUGGUCGGAGGGUCAACUGCACUUCAAAAUUACUUUUACUUUAAAAACAGCCACAGCACUUUUUUACCCUUUGAGGCUUUUUAGCCGCGGCGGCGCAGCGAUCGCGGAUUUACCCCCGACUCUCGCGGUAGACGUCACGGUUUCCGGCCCGCGUAAAUUUGCUUCGUUACACAAUCCUCAAAAUCAUCUUCGCCAACUGCGUCGCCAGCAAUAGUUGCUGCCUCUUCGACUUCAGAGAUUCAAUAACAUGUUGUUCCCUCAUGUUCAUAUUUCCAGUUGCCAUACAAUCAAUACCUAAAGCCGCAUCUCCAGUGGCCACUUGCUUCGCCUUCACAUCUGCCAAUACAUGAGUAGCCGACAUCCGCUAUUCUCGGCGAGCGGAAUGCUCUCCAAAGCCUCAACGAACCCUCUGAACGCAGACUGUUCCAAUGAAGCCAACUGAUCGGCUUGCGCCACCACCGCCAAACUGCAAGCGAUUUCGGGGGCGACGCCACCGUACGCAACUCUAGUUUCCUGAACCAAGCUUCUGACCACACACAGAGUUUAUCUGGGCUUAGUUCUUCGAAACGGGGGACGAUUUGGGUUUUGGCGGUUCAAAUGGACAUGUCAAGAUCGCGAACAUAACAUCUUUCAGUUCUUUAGGCAUCUGAGGAUGAGUCAUGGUCUUGCCAGUAACAACACCAUCCACAAGAACAGUCACUUCCAGUCUUCCCCCAACUUUUCCUUCCACUUUAAUAAGCUCAAAAUUCACAUCCUUGUGCGCCAAAUCCGUGACCGCCAGAAUCGCGUUCGCGGUCAUUGCGGCCAUCUGCCUAUGACACUUGUUGAUAAUUUUCGAACCCAGCGUUGUCUUUACCACUUUAAUCAAAGGCUCAGUAUUUUCAUCAGACACCGAGAAGAGUUUAGCUAUUUUGUCUAAGUGUUUAAUAGCGGUUUGACAAGCCAUUUCUUUAUUUCUUCAGUCCAUCUUUUGGUUCAUUUCCCCAACGAGGAUUGCUAGUUGGGUUUUUAAAUCCCGGUUCUUUCUCUCAACCAUAUUCGCAGCUCAGUGAUAUACGGGAGUCAGACUUUGUGCGAUGUUAAAACAAAGUCAUAUUCUGCCACUGGGUACCAUUAACAGAAAUGAUUUUCCGCGGAAGCUCAUAGCGUAAGCACACUUCAUUCCCUAAAGUCCAGGCGCAUGCUUCCGAAGUGGCGUGUUGUAGUGGAAAUAAUUCAACCCUUCUGGACGCGCAGUCUUCCAGGAUGAGUAUCCAUUUCUCUUCCUGUGGGCCACGGGGAAGGGGUCUAGAUAAAUCCGUGGAAAACGUUAUUGCAGUAUCGGAGUUUAAAGUAAAGCAGCGGGUCGUUAGUUACUGGCUUUAUAGCGUUGACGAGCAACAGUGUUGGAUGUACUCCCGAAUAUCUCGUUUUAAUCCGGGUCAAUAAAAUUUCCGGGAAACCUUAUGAUGGGUGUGGUCUAGCCCAUAAUGACCUGCUGUUGGUGAAAUGUGAUAUUCUUGCAAAAUUUUCUUGCGCUCAUUAGCGGGUACUACUUCUGGGGUCCCGUGUUCGUAGGCAUCAAUAAUUUUCUUUACCUCCGGGUCUUCGAAUUGUUUUUGUCGGAGAAUUUCGGGUUUUUCUCGCGGCACUUCUAUCGAAACCAGUCCGACGUGGUACUCUUCGGUCGACUAAACUCCUGGUAGCCGUGACAGGGUGUCGGCGACUACGUUGGCUUUCCCUAGUGAGUAUUCGAUCGUUAAGUUGUACGGCUGGAGUUGGAGGGACCAUCGAGUCAGUCGUGCACUCGGAGACUUUAGGCUCAUUAGCCAACGCAACGGCUGAUGAUCAGUAACAACUAUGGGGGGGCAUUUUUUCCAGGUAUCCGCGAAAGUUAUUUACUACCCAGACAAGGACCACGGCUUCUCUUUCAGGGGGCGUGAGGAGGCGACUUGCGUAUUCUACAGGCUGCUCAUUUAUUCCCUCUCCCCUGUGUAGCACUCGGAGGGUGAAGCCCGGCGCCGUUGUGAACGCUUUCUUCAGGCCCUCGAAGGCGAGAGUACUGUGGCGGCACAAUAGUAAGUAGUAAUAAGCGAAGAAAGAUAAGCGGCCUGGUGGUUUAGUGGUUAGGAUACUUGCCCGGCAAGCGGGGGGCGUGGGCAUCGAUUCCCACCGAGGCAGCAACAUUUUUCUUCGCUUACCUACAUAUCCAUCGGGCUAGCGACUUCCUGAGGGCGGUUCUCUAUGAACUAUGAACUAUGAAUGCGGUUCUCCUUCAAAAUGUUGGCGUUAGGUGGGGUUGUUUUUAACUAGUGGAAAGCGAGCUCGAUAGGACCUGGUGUUUCCUCCUUCGAGAUAAGCCCGUAACACUCGUGGCGAUUUCCUGCAUAAUGUCACCUUUGGCUCCCAUAGUUGAUGACCAUUCUUGAUUUCUGUAGGAAAUCGGCCCCAAGAAGGGUUUUCGAAUUCACGUCUUCUGGGAUAACAAUAAACUGAGUCGUUUUCGUGCGUCCUGAAAGUGUGAUCGGCAACAUACAGACUGAUUGUGCUGAUUGUGGCCCUUUUUCUUAAGAAGACCGUACAAUUGUUGUUCGAAUUUGCGGGCAUCCAGAAAACAGAACUGGACGUUGAGAGUUGAGACCAAGUAAUAAUAUGCAUUAAUCACAUUAAUUUAAUUGAUUUGAUUAUUAUUAUUAUUAUGAUUAUUGUCAAACUUCUAUCAUCUCUUUCAACAUUUCCAGUUUUAACAUUAGGAAAUUUUGUUUACUACAUCAUGAAACGGCACAAACUAUUAUCCUGGAAAUGUCACCCUUAUCUCAGAUGAUCAAUAUUUUUUCUUCUACUGAUAUUGACAUCUUUUACACCAACAUACGUCAGUUUAGAGGAAUAUUAAAAUAUAUAUGAUCAUUAAAGAGAGUCAUUGUUAUACUAGAAAAUCUAUCUCCGACAAUACGGACAAGUAAUAACUUGUAGUUACUUGAUUGUGAUAGAUACUCCUAAUAUUAACAACUGGACGUAAAAUCUGUUGGCCAAUUUCCACUAAUAAUAAUAAUAAUCAUAAUAAUAAUAAUCGCCUCACCACAUCAGACAGUCACGAACCACUACUUCACACAGCUUCGCAAAACGGCCAUGAACGGUCGAAUAUUUAAAGCGGCAUCACUCGGGUUGCUUUGGCACAAUUUUCUUUCCAAAUUUAUUCUAGCUUAUAAACGAGGAAAAUCGACUUAGGGUGAUAGUUUUUUUUCUUAAGAAUCCUGCAUACUAGACAUAUUUUGUCCCUCUUGUAAUCGAAAUUUUUAGUGCAGGUCUUAAACACGAAAAAACCAAUCAGUUUUAAUUAUUAACCCACACAUCUCAAAUACCGAGGGUGCACUUUAGUCCAAGUUAGUCAGAGUCCGUGAGAAGCGGUGGACGUGAAGACCCAGCUGUGUUGUGAUGGUUUGACAGGGCCGGACUCGGGUUGAGUGAUAUGAGGGCGUAUUCAGGUAGGGCGCCUUUGGCCAUUGACACAGCAGGCUGGCGAAACCCGUGAAGGAGGUUGUGGUCGCGGUGGUAGCAACCGAAUGCCACAGAGAAUACGUUUACUGGUUAGGUUGGGAGAUUAACCCGGUUUCUGGAGGGAACAUAGUGACGUAUAGACAUGGAGGUGUCCUCUCCACUUUGGCCGUGACAGUGCUCCUUCUGAGGGGGCUGUGGGCGGGCAGUACAUCCCAAACUGUACGGCUAGGGCGAUUUCAGAUAACUCGACAUCACCAGGAGAUCGAGCGCCGAAGACAACGCCGUGAGUUGGAACCGCUGAUCAACAAGGAGUCGACUAGGGGGUGGAGAGCCCCCGAAACCAACAUUCGACAACAAUGGUAAAAUCUUCAAAAUGAAGCAUUCUCUGUGUUUAUUGUGCUGUUGACUUCGUACAACAUAAUACAUUAUAUACUCAUACUUCAUCAGCGGCGGACUAAAGUUCCAGAAAAAAACCAAAUCCGAGCAACUAAGGAUUUGUUUCAAAGCUUUCGAGUACAUCUAGAUAGCAAUAUUACAAUCUCCAGAGUGAAGCAUUAUUGUCUAUGCUAGUUUACCACGCUCUUGGCUUACUGCGAGGCCCUUUAAGUACCAGAAAAUAAGGCCAAGUACCCCUCAGUCCUAACAAUUGAUGGACGGACCAUCCUUUAGAUAUCGAUGAUCUGUUUCAAGGCGUUUAGAAGAAAUUCAGUCCUUCGGAAAAUCGUCCUGCCUGUCCUGAAGUUAUUCGCCAAACUUAUUCGUCAAAAGAAUACGUUUCUUAGAUUAGGUACUUGUAAUUACUUGGUAUAUUAUCACCACGUAUAAAGUCGAUAAACUGGA